rnacentral:rRNA from 1 species
UGGGGAAUAUUGCACAAUGGGCGAAAGCCUGAUGCAGCAACGCCGCGUGAGUGAUGAAGGUCUUCGGAUUGUAAAGCUCUGUCUUUUGGGACGAUAAUGACGGUACCAAAGGAGGAAGCCACGGCUAACUACGUGCCAGCAGCCGCGGUAAUACGUAGGUGGCGAGCGUUGUCCGGAUUUACUGGGCGUAAAGGGUGCGUAGGCGGAUGUUUAAGCGAGAUGUGAAAUACCCGGGCUUAACUUGGGUGCUGCAUUUCAAACUGGAUAUCUAGAGUGCAGGAGAGGAGAAUGGAAUUCCUAGUGUAGCGGUGAAAUGCGUAGAGAUUAGGAAGAACACCAGUGGCGAAGGCGAUUCUCUGGACUGUAACUGACGCUGAGGCACGAAAGCGUGGGUAGCAAACAGGAUUAGAUACCCUGGUAGUCCACGCCGUAAACGAUGAGUACUAGGUGUAGGAGGUAUCGACCCCUUCUGUGCCGCAGUAAACACAUUAAGUACUCCGCCUGGGAAGUACGAUCGCAAGAUUAAAACUCUAAAGUGAAUUGAC